ACUACUUCUUUUAAAUGUACGAAAAUGUUUCCUACUCUUUCAUUUCCACAAAUUCCCCUUGCAAUUGUAAUUAAUCCCUGCACACUCCACACCUCUUCCCAACCGAAACAGUGAAACACUCCAAUGAACAGUUCUUUCCAAGCGAUACAGUGCAACACCCCAACGGAAACAUUACACACAACAACAACUGCCUCCCCUAGCCCAAAACCAAUCCAUUCUCCUUUUGGAAGCCCCUUCACCUCCGACUCCCCUGGCCUCCCAAAAAACAAUUGCACCAUCCUUCUGGCACCCCGUUCUCCUGCUUAAUUACUCCGGCAGCCUCCGACCAAGAUUCCAACAACAACAACCAAGACUCCAACAACAACAACGUACCGGACAGAACCCAAGUGCAUCCCAACACGAGGCCAAGACAAGUUUGCCACUGUUGCAUUUGGAGCAUCUUCUGGGAAACUAUUGGAAUAUGUGGUCGGAGGUCCCAGGCUUUCUGUCCAAACAGCUUAUGGCAUGGAGGUUGAGUGUUGUAGUGGUAUGGUGAUUCGCGUUACCUUUGUUUGGUGGAUGUAUCUAUACAUUUUGUUUUGAGUGCAGAUGAUUGUACUGGGCUUGAAUGAAAAAGAAGUAUUAGCACCUUCAUUUGAGCUCUUGCACUCACAUUGAAUCUGUUGCCCUCUGAAAUCUAAGCUUCUGUUUUGCCGCUGAUCUGGGCCAGCUGGGUUCUUGAGUUAUGCCAUUAUAAAGCAUUAGUUUGCAGUUGCAAGACUCCUGAUAACUAAUAUGCUGCACUCCUUGUUCAGCCAUAGGAACAACUCCAAUUGGGGUAUUUCCGUUAAAAACUUGUGUCCUGAUUUAAGAUUUGAGUCUUAAAAGCAAAAAAUAAACGCUUCUGUGAAUCACGUGAGCUGCACUUCAUGCAGUAAAUCAGAAAAAUGAAGAAUCCAUGGGAAAAGUGAAGAGGAAAUUCGUCUACUUAUUUCCUGGCAAUUUUCAUUGCAGUGCGAUGCUCCUCUGUUGGGAUGAAAGAUUAGAAGUCUCAAUGCUGGAGGAAUGAGCUUGACGUAGGUUCAAACCGUUUAUGCCUUCGUAGCUUUCUUCCUUUUCCUUGUAUGACACAGGUUAAAACUUAAAAACAGCUUUCUUCCUGUUGCUGUGGGAAGAUAAAAUCCUUGAUUUUUCAGAUCCAAUGCACCCUUGAUGUUGGAGUAGUUAGAACAUCUUCAACCGGAGAUGUCAAAAUUUUUUUUAAGGCUUAUAUGGCAUUUUGACAUCUCCAUUUGACAUCAAACUCUCCCUCUCCAGCCCUUAUGUCAAAAAAAUAAAGCUCAAACUUAAAAGGAAAAAAAAAAGAAUAAGAAAACCUGAAACGGCAAAAUUGUUUUUGAACUUCCAAAGGUAGUUUUUGAAAAUUGGCAUGUAUAGAGGUAGAUGUCAAAAUUGACAUGGGAGUGGGAGGUGUUAAAGCCACCUCAGCUUUGGCAUGAGUGAAGGCAUAUCUAUUGGAUUGUCCAUUUAUGCCAAAAGUAACCGUUGGAGAUGUCAUCUCAGCUUUGAUGUUUUCUGUUGGAGAUGGUUUUAGCGACGGAGCCAA